rnacentral:rRNA from 1 species
ACGGGUGAGUAAUGCAUAGGAAUCUGCCCAGUAGUGGGGGAUAGCCCGGGGAAACCCGGAUUAAUACCGCAUACGCCCUACGGGGGAAAGCAGGGGAUCUUCGGACCUUGCGCUAUUGGAUGAGCCUAUGUCGGAUUAGCUAGUUGGUGGGGUAAAGGCCUACCAAGGCGACGAUCCGUAGCUGGUCUGAGAGGAUGAUCAGCCACAUCGGGACUGAGACACGGCCCGAACUCCUACGGGAGGCAGCAGUGGGGAAUAUUGGACAAUGGGCGCAAGCCUGAUCCAGCCAUGCCGCGUGUGUGAAGAAGGCCUUCGGGUUGUAAAGCACUUUCAGUAGGGAGGAAAACCUGAUGGUUAAUACCCAUUGGGCUUGACGUUACCUACAGAAGAAGCACCGGCUAACUCCGUGCCAGCAGCCGCGGUAAUACGGAGGGUGCGAGCGUUAAUCGGAAUUACUGGGCGUAAAGCGCGCGUAGGCGGUUUGGUAAGCGAGAUGUGAAAUCCCCGGGCUUAACCUGGGAACUGCAUUUCGAACUGCCAGGCUAGAGUA